AGACGGCCCUACGGGUUGUAAACUGCUUUUGUACCGGAAUAAACCUUUGGUCGUGACCAGAGCUGAAUGUACGGUAAGAAUAAGGAUCGGCUAACUCCGUGC
rnacentral:rRNA from 1 species